AUGAGUCGUCCUGAUGGCAUCAACAUUUCCGAUGGCAAGUUCUACCUAGGAGAUGUUGGCUAUGCAUGUAGGCCAUGUGUUCUUCCACCCUUUAGGAAAAUCAGGUACCAUCUGAACGAGUUCAUUGGUAGGAACUAUCCUAGAACUGCACAGGGGUUGUUUAAUCUCAGACAUUUCAGCCUUAGAGUUACUGUUUAGAGGGCAUUUGGAGCUCUAAAGAAACAAGUUUAAGAUCCUAAAUCAGAAGCCAUUCCCCGCUUUCUCCACUUAGUUUAGCUUGUGCUUGCCUGUUGUAUUAUGCAUAAUUGGAUCUUGCAAUGAGGUUGUGAUGAACUGAUGCCUCAGGAGGAAGAUUGA
rnacentral:rRNA from 1 species